rnacentral:rRNA from 1 species
AACGAACGCUGGCGGCAUGCCUAACACAUGCAAGUCGAACGAGACCUUCGGGUCUAGUGGCGCACGGGUGCGUAACGCGUGGGAACCUGCCCUUAGGUUCGGUAUAACUCCCCGUAAGGGGUGCUAAUACCGGAUAAUGUCUUCGGACCAAAGAUUUCUCGCCUUUGGAUGGGCCCGCGUUGGAUUCGCUAGUUGGUAGGGUAAAAGCCUACCAAGGCGACGAUGCAUAGCUGGUCUGAGAGGAGGAUCAGUCACACUGGGACUGAGACACGGCCCAGACUCCUACGGGAGGCAGCAGUGGGGAAUAUUGGACAAUGGGCGAAAGCGUGAUCCAGCAAUGCCGCGUGAGUGAUGAAGGCCUUAGGGUUGUAAAGCUCUUUUACCCGGGAUGAUAAUGACAGUACCGGGAGAAUAAGCUCCGGCUAACUCCGUG